GAAACACCGAUCUCCUGUACGAUCACUAAAGUUAAGCAACAUUGAGCCUGGUCAGUACCUAGAUGGGUGACUGCUUGGGAAUACCACAUGUUGGC